rnacentral:rRNA from 1 species
AUUGAACGCUGGCGGCAGGCCUAACACAUGCAAGUCGAACGGUAACAGAAAGCAGCUUGCUGCUUUGCUGACGAGUGGCGGACGGGUGAGUAAUGUCUGGGAAACUGCCUGAUGGAGGGGGAUAACUACUGGAAACGGUAGCUAAUACCGCAUAACGUCGCAAGACCAAAGAGGGGGACCUUCUGGCCUCUUGCCAUCGGAUGUGCCCAGAUGGGAUUAGCUAGUAGGUGGGGUAACGGCUCACCUAGGCGACGAUCCCUAGCUGGUCUGAGAGGAUGACCAGCCACACUGGAACUGAGACACGGUCCAGACUCCUACGGGAGGCAGCAGUGGGGAAUAUUGCACAAUGGGCGCAAGCCUGAUGCAGCCAUGCCGCGUGUAUGAAGAAGGCCUUCGGGUUGUAAAGUACUUUCAGCGGGGAGGAAGGGAGUAAAGUUAAUACCUUGGCUCAUUGACGUUACCCGCAGAAGAAGCACCGGCUAACUCCGUG